CAAAUAUCCAGUCCCUGCACCUUUCUUCUUCCUAGCCGCUCUCUCUCCGUGCAGUGCGUCCUCCGUGCCCAGUCCGAGCUCCCCAUGGCGCGCCCAGCUGAAGCUCCCUCUUCCUCCUCGGCGCUGCUCUAUCUCUCUCUGGUGCUCAGCUCCCUCCGCGCGUCCUUGGCUCCAAGCCCCCGCGUGGAGCUCGCCCAGCUGUGACCCUGCCGAGCUCCGCCCCGACUCCACGUCUCCUGGUCGGGCUCUCGUUCUAUGCUUGAUGCCGCUGUUCCCUGGUGCUCCCUGCUCGGUCCCUGCCCAGCGCCUGACUACAGCUCCAGCUCGCGGCGUCCCCUCUGCUUAGCCAGGAUUGUCGUGCCUCUGCUCCCUGAUUUCUCCAGCCCGUGGAGCUUUUGCUAUGCGCUCCCUCCCUGCUCCGGUCUUCUCCAUAGCCGAGCGCCCGACGUUCUCCCUGGUGCUCGCCCAAGUCACCGUUGCAGCUCCAGCUCGGAUUCCCCUUCCCAUGGCGGCGCCCACCUCCCUGUGCUCCCUGUUCCAGCUCGUCGGGGAUGCCCCUUCCUCCAGCCGUGUUCUGCUUCUCUCCCUGCGCCCCUAUUCAUCUCCUGUGCGCCUUGGUUUUGGUCCCAAGCUCCAUGGCCGCCUCGCUGCAGCUCUCUGGUGCUCGGUCGCCAAGUCUCCCUGCUCUAUGCGUUCUUCUUCCUCCCUGGCUCCUGCGCGUUAUGUGCCCAGCUCCCUUUUCCGCAUAUGCGCGCUUAUCUCGCUUUCCUGCGCGCCCAGCGUUCUGCUCCCGCUCGUCCCUGCGCGCCAAGCUCCGUGCGCGGUCCUUCCUUGAGCUCGGUCCUGCGCUUUUCCUUUCUCUGUGUCGUGCUCGCCGUGCCGUGAGUCACUGGCCAGCAGUCCAGCUCGCUUCAGAAUCAAUCUCGACGUCGUUCCACGCGUCAGCAAGAAAUCUCAAGAGUUGGGUGAAGUUGGAGGCCAACAGCAUGGUAUUCACCAUGUGCGCGACAGGAAGCUCGAGCCAGGAUUUAUCCGCAUUCGUACGAGUAUUGGGUCGCGUUUGAUACUGGUACGUUAAUUAAUCGCGCGAUGCAGAAGACGACCCAAGUCGACCCCAAGCGUGGGCUACUCCGCACGGUGAUGCUGAUGGACGAACAUGUCUGAUCAAGUGCCAGGAUGUGAGCUGCUCGCCAAAGGAUCAUCGUCUAACAACACUAACCUAGUGUUACCCAGGUUAUAGUUUUUGUGCUGCUGUUGAUGGUGUUAAGUGCCGGUGGGCUCGGCCUUCUUAUAUAAGUAUACCCCGCCUUUAUCUUCUUAUUGAGGAUGGUCACUUGAGCUAGCAUAUAUUUCAAAACUAUAAAUAAUUUAUAACCGUUCAAAGUUUCUUUCUUUGAAUCAAUGUAGUAAUCACUCUGAUCAUGUACGAAGUAAAAUUUUUGUAACUUGUAAAAUUUGGUAAUAAGAUUUCCGCUGC